UUCAUCCCCAAUUUCAUCCGUGAGGUGCUGCUAUUGAGAAACAUGUAGAAAUGUAUGGAGAUUGAGAGAAGAUGAUUCUGGUGUUGUUCGUGUUACCAGUGAAGAGGGGAUGGUUCGAUUGAUGAUGUUCUGUUGAUCGAGAAUUGUUGUUUGCUGCUGGUGAAUGAGAACAGAUCGAGAAGAAGUCCAGGGUUGAAAUCAGAUGGAGGAAUUCAUGACUGUGGUUGAAGAUUAACGAAGAAAUGGAAGAAGUUAAACGGGGUUUGAGGUGAAUUCGUAGCUGGUGGAUCUGGGAUGAUUCGUUUGAUGAAUUACUGUGACAGAAUUUGUGAUGGAUGUGAAAUAUUAUCUAAUCAGCUUCUGAAAUUGAUAAGAUUAGGGUUCUGAUGCUGCUGGUGGUCAAGAGGUGUUGUGGUCAAGACCUGGAUGGAGAUGUUGGUAUAAGGCAAUGCAGAAGACAUCAAUUUGUUGUUGUUGAAGUUCAUAGCUGAAUGGAUCGUGAAUCAGGAGAUGGAUGCUGGUAUGAAUGGGUUUGAGCUGGAUUUGAUUUUGAGCUGUAGAAAGUGGUGUUGCUGUUGAGAUGAAACUGGUGUUGUUGUUGCUCAUGGAAUUGCAGGGAAGAACAGUGAAACUGGUAAUGAUGUUUCUGUCUUGGCUGGAGUUUGAGGAUGAGAAUCAAAUGGCUGAACUGAAGCAGUAGAAUGUAUGUUUAGGUUGCAGGAAUGAAGGCACAAAUGAGUAUACACUGCAGGGAUGGAGGAAGUUGUGUGUUGGUAUUACGAAGGCUGCGAUGCAAUGCAAAAAGCAGUUGGAUCUGCAGUAGCUGGUGGUCCUGUGAAGUGUUGAGGUAGAAGUGUGGGCUUGUUAGAAGCUGUGAAGACAUGAAAUGGUGGCGGUUUGGUCUGUUGCAGAUGCUAGUGAAUGGCCGAGUUGUGCAGGUCGAGAGUGCAGCUGAGUAACUGAUGCAGUGAGAUGUGAGAUGAACUAACAAGAGCUGAUGGCAAGCUGUAAUUGCAGCUGCACUGAAGCUGAGUGAGCAACUGGUACAAUUAAAGAUGCAAGUGCAGUGAUAAUGGAGAUGGCUGUGAGUAUUGCAGGCAGUGCUGCUACUCAAAUUGCAGAAGAAGAAUGUGGAGAUAAAAAGGGUUUGUGCUUGAUGGGUUAAUGUGCAGCUGAUUAUGGCAGUGGUGAAAAUGGAGAUACAGGGAAUGCUACACGAGUGUUUGAACUGAAUUGCAUAGCAGGUUAAGGUGGUAUGAUGUUGUUGGUUUUAGGAGCUGAAGCUGAUGCAAUGGAGGCCUCAGAGAUGAUGUUGUUGCCAUCAGUUCAUGGUAAUGGAAGGUGCAGAGUUGCUGGCUGAGCUGUUGAAUGUUGCAGGGACCUGUUGCCAUGUAAAGCUGAGUUAUAGUGAGUUGUGCAAGUGAUGCAGCUGGAAUUGAAAAGGCCUGGAAAUGGGCAGAAUAUAGCCAGAACUAGGCUAAUUUCUGGUUUAGGCGAGUUGACUCGCAGAUUCAGGUGAGGUGACUCGAAUGGACUUGGACCUGUUUUGGAUGGGCUUCACUGAUUUUGGGCUGGUUCAGACGACACAAGGUGAAGGCAGAAGAGUAUAAAAAAAAAAGAAAAGAGGAGUUCUAGGGGGAUCUUCUCUUCUACUUUUGUUCUAGGUUUUGUGAACAUGAUAGAUUUAUUUGUUCUUUGGAUGAACUCCAUGAACAUGAGGUUUUUAUCCCCUCGCAUAUUAUUAGUUUCUGGUGAAACUAAUGACAAUUGGGAAUGGUUUUUCAAGAAUCUGAAGGAUGCUUUGGAUGAUGAUCAUCCAAUCACUUUUAUGACUGACCGAGGUGAAGGGUUGGUUAAAUAUAUUCCCAAAGUAUUCCUUAAUUCCCAUCAAAGCUAUUGCUACUUCCACUUGGACAAAAACUUGCCUAUCGCAAAAUCUGACGAAAAGUAUAAAGAAGUGACUGAAUCUUUCCAAAAAGCGAUAUAUGCGCUUUCUCCUGCAACAUACGAGGAAGCUCUUCAAGAAAUGGUUAAUUUGGGAAGGCCUUGGGUUGCUGACUACUGCCGUAACAUUCCAAGGGGAAAAUGGUCCAGUGCGUUCUUCAGGGCUGUAGGUAUGGUCAGACUUCUUCAAGCGUUGUUGAAUCGUUCAAUAAUUGGAUUAACCGCGAGAAGAAGUUAAUUGCGUGUGUGUUCGUUGACUCGAUCAGGCUACAUAUUAUGGAAUUGAUGUCAGAACGUCGCGAAUAGAGUGUCUUGAUGAAUUCAGAACUGCUAACCCCUGUGUAUCAAGCCUUGCUUGAACUACACAUUCAAAUUGGUCGUCCCUAGAAAGUUAGUCAGUCAGAUGCUAACCGCUUUGAAGUGCAUUCUCCAAGGUCUCAUAUGGUAGAUCUAGAGAAAAAAACUUGUACUUGCCAAUGAUGGCACGUUUAUAGUUUUCCAUGCUCGCACGCUACUGUAGCUAUUACUAAAUUUGGAGGAAGGAUGCUUGAUUACGUCGACGAUUACUUCAAAGUUACUUGUUUUCAUGAGCUAUAUUCAAUAGCUAUUAGACAUGUUCCUAACUACGACAGGCCUGAUGAGUAUCAGGUAGACGAUACCGUUCUCCCACCAGAUGUAAUUAGGGAUCCACCAGGCAGGAAAAAGGGAAAGCGUAUUAAAGGCUUGAACGUGCAGCAGAAUGUGAUACCGAUGACGUUUCCAUUCUUUCCACUAGUUAUUAUUUGAAAAGCUCACCACCAGUUAUCAACAUGUCGUCCUUGUUCUAUUCUACUGUUUUCUUUUGAUUCGUCAGUACCAACUGAAUUUGGUUAAUA